rnacentral:rRNA from 1 species
UUCCAGAGAUGGAUUGGUGCCUUCGGGAACUGUGAGACAGGUGCUGCAUGGCUGUCGUCAGCUCGUGUUGUGAAAUGUUGGGUUAAGUCCCGCAACGAGCGCAACCCUUAUCCUUUGUUGCCAGCGGUCCGGCCGGGAACUCAAAGGAGACUGCCAGUGAUAAACUGGAGGAAGGUGGGGAUGACGUCAAGUCAUCAUGGCCCUUACGACCAGGGCUACACACGUGCUACAAUGGCGCAUACAAAGAGAAGCGACCUCGCGAGAGCAAGCGGACCUCAUAAAGUGCGUCGUAGUCCGGAUUGGAGUCUGCAACUCGACUCCAUGAAGUCGGAAUCGCUAGUAAUCGUGGAUCAGAAUGCCACGGUGAAUACGUUCCCGGGCCUUGUACACACCGCCCGUCACACCAUGGGAGUGGGUUGCAAAAGAAGUAGGUAGCUUAACCUUCGGGAGGGCGCUUACCACUUUGUGAUUCAUGACUGGGGUGAAGUCGUAACAAGGUAACCGUAGGGGAACCUGCGGUUGGAUCACCUCCUUACCUUAAAGAAGC